AUUGANCGCUGGCGGAAUGCUUUACACAUGCAAGUCGAACGGCAGCACGGGAGCUUGCUCCUGGUGGCGAGUGGCGGACGGGUGAGUAAUAUAUCGGGACGUGUCCAUUAAUGGGGGAUAACUAGCCGAAAGGUUAGCUAAUACCGCAUACGCCCUGAGGGGGAAAGCUAGGGAUCUUCGGACCUGGCGUUAAUGGAGCGGCCGAUAGCUGAUUAGGUAGUUGGUGGGGUAAAGGCCUACCAAGCCUGCGAUCAGUAGCUGGUCUGAGAGGACGACCAGCCACACUGGGACUGAGACACGGCCCAGACUCCUACGGGAGGCAGCAGUGGGGAAUUUUGGACAAUGGGGGAAACCCUGAUCCAGCCAUUCCGCGUGAGUGAAGAAGGCCUUCGGGUUGUAAAGCUCUUUCGCAAGGGAAGAAAACUUAUCCUCUAACAUAGGGUGAGGUUGACGGUACCUUGACAAGAAGCACCGGCUAACUACGUGCCAGCAGCCGCGGUAAUACGUAGGGUGCGAGCGUUAAUCGGAAUUACUGGGCGUAAAGCGUGCGCAGGCGGCCUUAAAAGUCAGAUGUGAAAUCCCCGAGCUCAACUUGGGAACUGCGUUUGAAACUCUAAGCUAGAAUAUGUCAGAGGGGGGUAGAAUUCCACGUGUAGCAGUGAAAUGCGUAGAGAUGUGGAGGAAUACC
rnacentral:rRNA from 1 species